rnacentral:tRNA from 1 species
GGAUUGUAGCUCAGUGGUAGAGUACUUGCCUAGCAUGUGUGAGGCAUUGGGUUCAAUUCUCAGCACCA